GCCGCUUUAGCUCAGUUGGUAGAGCACGGCAUUCGUAAUGCCGGGGUCGUCAGUUCAAGUCUGACAAGCGGCACCA
rnacentral:tRNA from 1 species